UACAGAGGUCCCAAGCGUUGUUCGGAUUCAUUGGGCGUAAAGGGUGCGUAGGCGGCGCGGUAAGUCGGGUGUGAAAUCUCGGAGCUUAACUCCGAAACUGCAUUCGAUACUGCCGUGCUUGAGGACUGGAGAGGAGACUGGAAUUCACGGUGUAGCAGUGAAAUGCGUAGAUAUCAGGAGGAACACCGGUGGCGAAGGCGGGUCUCUGGGCCGAAUGACUGACGCUGGAGGAGCGAAAGCGUGGGGAGCGAACAGG
rnacentral:rRNA from 1 species